CUGUUCCAUGUUUGAAGGUGGCCAGUCUGCCAGUCGGAGAUGCGACAGAGGGGAACAGAGGCCGAUGAGGACAAAGAGAGAGGGAAUUAGAGAGAAAGAGAGACAGAUCACAUCUUAUAAUUUCCAUCUUGAGCUGGAUUUUUUAUUAUUAUUUUAUAUCUUUUUGCAGCGUUCUCUGCUAAAUUUAUUUUUACCCAUUGUCUGUUUUAUGAAUACUAUGUGGAUAGUGUUGCGUGGGAAUCUUGACUGGAAAAUGUGAAAUGGAAGCAUCAUGAUAUAUCAAGGCCUUACACCCUGCCAGUUUGAACUUGAUGUAAUAACUCAACCGCAGACUCCAAGAAAAAUAGAUUUGGGAUUUCUCUGUGAUCUAUCGCGGCCAUUACUUUCCCCCUAAUUGAAGGGUCCAUCCACAUUCAAGAGAAAUGAUCACCUGUCAUGGGUAACCCACAAUGGAAGGUUUUGGUUGUUUGUUAGUGGGGUGGACUCUGUUGUGUCAAGUCUUAAGAAAAUAAUGAAUUACAAUGCACACUGAUUCCCAUGGACGUUUUGCAAACCAUCAAGGCCAUAAGUCAUUUUGAGCACCUUUAUUCUGUCCCAACGAGUAAGAUUUGACCACAGUGUGAACAAAUAUAUUAGUCAUCUGAAAGAUCCAAAGACGAUCAUCAAGCAUCCUUUGUCAACAAGGCUUCAAUGGACCUGACUGUUGAGGACCAGAUUUGUCAAUCUUUGCAGACUGGAUAAUUCGCCAUGUUAGCUGUGAGCUUAGCUGAUUGUUUGGAGCUUUCCUUCAUGCAUCCCUGGCCUGACAACUGAGAUCCCUGUGUUAUUUUGUGAUUUCCUUACCAAAAUAUACAAGACAUUCUAUUCAAUUCCAAGAAGCUCAUGAUCUUCAAGGAGAGGUAUGAAAAGAAAAUCUGUGGAUGUCCAGCAUGUGUGUGUGUGUGUGCGUGUGCAUG